CGGGUGUGUGCAGGGGCAGAAUGUGCCAGAAUGUGCCAGAAUGCGCCGGCUCUCACCUUGCCUAGCUGCCGCUGAGAAAAACAAAGCACAAAGAGGGACCUGAAGUAUCUCCUUCUCGGAAGCCUGAUAAGGGACUGGAGUGGUGGCCAGAGCCGUGGAAUCCAACAAGAGGAACAUUACGUGGCAUGUGACAUGGGGGACCCCCAGGAGGCAAGGAGGCCUUCAGAAAGGAGUCUCCGGAGGCAGCCCAGCCGUGCAGACCCUGACAUUGGACACGCAGCCCAAGUUCCCCAUCUUUAUCCUGCAGAAAAACUGACGUAUUUCCGGAGAGUUCCAUCAGAGGGGCUGUGACAAGCUUGGACUGGCCUCCAGGAAGGGGUCCUGGGGUCCCUCCACGAACAGUCCAGACGUGAACGUACUUCAUCAAAGGGAAAGGGUCUGGGUUCAGGCCCCGGGGCCCCGUGAGUUUGGCUGCAAAAUAAAUUGCCCGGACGAGA